rnacentral:rRNA from 1 species
AGCAGUCGCCACGGGAAUACAGAGGGUGCGAGCGUUAAUCGGAUUUACUGGGCGUAAAGCGUGCGUAGGCGGCUAAUUGAGUCGGAUGUGAAAUCCCCGAGCUUAACUUGGGAAUUGCAUUCGAUACUGGUUAGCUAGAGUGUGGGAGAGGAUGGUAGAAUUCCAGGUGUAGCGGUGAAAUGCGUAGAGAUCUGGAGGAAUACCGAUGGCGAAGGCAGCCAUCUGGCCUAAUACUGACGCUGAGGUACGAAAGCAUGGGGAGCAAACAGGAUUAGAUACCCGUGUAGUCCCUGUCUCUUAUAC